UUGUGAGUUUGAUCCUGGCUCAGGAUGAACGCUGGCGGCGUGGAGAAGGCAUGCAAGUCGAAUGGGUUUAGACCCAUGGCGAACGAGGUAGUAAUACAUAGAUACGUACCUUAGAGUCUGAGAUAAUCCAUCGAAAGGUGGGAUAAUAUCAGAUGGUCCCGCAAGGGUAAAGAUUUAUUGCUCUAAGAUCGGUCUAUGCGCUAUCAGCUAGUUGGUGAGGUAAUGGCUCACCAAGGCAAUGACGGCUAGGGGGCGUGAGAGCGUGAUCCCCACCGAUGGCACUGCGACACGGGCCAUACACCUACGGGUGGCAGCAGUCGAGAGUCUUCCACAAUGGGCGAAAGCCUGAUGGAGCGACGCCGCGUGAAUGAAGAAGGGCUUCGGCCUGUAAAGUUCUUUUCUCUACGAGAAAACCGCUUUUUGCGGUGUGAUGUUAGUAGAGGAAUAAGGGGUUGCUAAACUCGUGCCAGCAGCAGCGGUAAUACGAGUGCCCCGAGCGUUAUCCGGAAUCACUGGGCGUAGAGGGUGCGUAGGAGGUUUAGUUAGUCCUGUCUUAAAAAUUUCGGCUUAACCGAAAAGAUGGACAGGAAACGGCUAAACUAGAGAGUGCGAGAGGCAUAUGGAACUCAUGGUGUAGGGGUGAAAUCCGUUGAUAUCAUGGGGAACACCAAAGGCGAAGGCAAUAUGCUGGCGCAUUUCUGACUCUGAGGCACGAAAGCGUGGGGAUAGAAAAGGAUUAGAUACCCUUGUAUUCCACGCCCUAAACGAUGUUCUCUAGCUUUUGAUAGUAUCGACCCUAUCAGAGGCGAAGCUAACGCGUUAAGAGAACCGCCUGGGAAGUACGGCCGCAAGGCUAAAACUCAAAGGAAUAGACGGGGACUUGCACAAGCAGUGGAUCAUGUGGUUUAAUUCGAUGAUAAACGAAGAACCUCACCGGGGUUUGAAACCCAAGCGAAUCUCAGUGGAAACAUUGAGAGUCUCACAAGGACGGUUGGGCAGGUGAUGCAUGGCUGUCGUCAGUUCGUGAUUUGAAUUGUUCCCUUAAGUGGGGCAACGAACGCAACCCUCGUGUUGUGUUACAAGUGUCACAACAGACUGCCAUUUUGGAGGAAGGAGAGGAUGACGCCAAGUCAGCAUGUCCCUCUGAUAUCCCGGGCUACACACAUGAUACAAUGGCCGAUACAAUGGGUCGCAAUGCCGAGAGGCGGAGCCAAUCUCAUCAAAGUCGGUCUAAGUUCGGAUUGAGGUCUGCAACUCGACCUCAUGAAGUUGGAAUUGCUAGUAAUCGCAGGUCAGCUAUACUGCGGUGAAUACGUUCUCAAGUCUUGUACUCACCGCCCGUCAAGCCAAGGGAGCCGAGAAUACCCGAAAGUCCGUUUUGCGGACCUACGGUAAGUUCGGUAACAGGGGCUAAGUCGUAACAAGGCACGGGUAGCGGAAGCUGCUCGUGGG
rnacentral:rRNA from 1 species